UCACCUGACUAACGUAAGCUUGUCGCUUAUGAUGAUUUAUCGUGGUUCAAUCUUUGGGGGCGUUCCCACCACGCGCAGUUGAUCGCCGAAAGACACGACGCUCACAACUGACCCCUUUUGGAAAAAAAAAUGGGGGACAAUAGUACACAUUCAAAGUAGCCUAACCUCUGAAAACAAAUACCCACACGACGGUUUUUGCACGCCAACCUUGGUCUGUCAAACCCACAAAUGAAAAUGAAUUAUUGCUUCUAUUUUGCCUUUAUGACGCGGAAGGGGAAAAAAUAUGCAAAUUGGAUGCAGAAUAAUUGUUCGUCCCGAGCAUCACGAUUAACCAUGCAAACAACGCCCUGUGUUUAGAAACUGGCCAAUGGUUGCAACCUAUACGACAAAAGUAUCUGAUUUCGAUUGCAAUAAUGUCCACCAUUUUGAAGAAAACAAUUGUGGAACUGCAGUAAAUAUUCGCAGUGCAUUUUAUCGCCACAGCCAUCUCAAAACACAGCUGUCUGAAAAACUCAACCGCGGAGCCAACUCGUCAUCUUGUUCGGCAUUCCAAACGUUGCUCGUUGAGUGCAAAAUGGCGUUCGAAUCAUAAAAUACCCCCAAUUUCCAGUUAAAUAAGCACCAUCAAUUCAUGGCGAAUCCAGCUCACUUUGCAGGAUCGAAGACUCUGUCUUCAGACCCUGAUCCGAGCACAGGCCGCGUGCCCUCAGCCGACCCGACAUGCCCGAACCACCGGGCCUCCCGAGCCCACUUCCACCUGAAACUCAUGCCGCAGACCCCGGGAGGGGCAACAAAGAGGUCGCGGUGAGGAAAUUGUUUCUCCCCGGUUGCCUAAGGAGGAGAGGGGAGGUGGUCCCAAGUUCACGGAAGGAGCGCACUCAGCCAGCUUCAUCAGUUCAACUGCUGACAGACAUCGCUAGAUGGGGCCAGAACAAGCCAGCUUUUAUCAUACCGUCGAACGCGUCUAGACGCCCCGUGGUUAGAGUCAAAACGCGGCCGCAGUGGGUGAGCCCGAACAACGGGAGUAACUAACAUAGUGGAAAAAGUCAGUCGCUGGAAAUAGAGACCAAUUGUCUACACCUCCGCCUAUUCAAGAUUUCUUCAGGUUUCUACUCAAGACACCAGUUUACGAGCAAGAGAGCUGCCGAUGAUUGAAGUCAAGUUGUGGAGAUGAAUAAUCAGAUGGGCGGACAAACUAACACACCACAUUUCGCAACAAGUUCGUCUGAAAGAUGGAAGCAGUGUUCUUCGGGCCUUCCAGUUGAGGACUGCACGUACAGUUAAAAUGAGAAAAGAUGACACAGUCAGUUCAGUGAGAGAGGCACGUGACAAGUUGCUCUAUAUAAAGCCAAGAUACUCCAAGUCGGCGCUUCAAUCAUCAAGACGAUGCGAAAACAGCAACUUGAACGCCAUCCAUCACUCAACGGGAUAUUCAGCCAGUGAAAUUUUCAGAGAGAGGAUUUUUUCGUUUUCUACUCACCGAAAGAGAACUCGAAAGCGGAGACUGUAACAAGCAUAACUGUCAUCAUCUGCAGAAGCAGA